rnacentral:rRNA from 1 species
CCUACGGGUGGCAGCAGUGGGGAAUAUUGCGCAAUGGGGGAAACCCUGACGCAGCAACGCCGCGUGAGUGAAGAAGUAUCUCGGUAUGUAAAGCUCUAUCAGCGGGGAAGAAGGAAGACGGUACCCGACUAAUAAGCCCCGGCUAACUACGUGCAAGCAGCCGCGGGAAUACGUAGGGGGCGAGCGUUAUCCGGAUUUACUGGGGGUAAAGGGAGCGUAGGCGGUGGGGCAAGUCUGAAGUGAAAGCCCGUGGCUCAACCGCGGAACCGCUGUGGAAACUGCGAGGCUGGAGUGCUGGAGAGGUAUGCGGAAUUCCUGGUGUAGCGGUGAAAUGCGUAGAUAUCAGGAGGAACACCGGUGGCGAAGGCGGCUUACUGGACAGUGACUGACGUUGAGGCUCGAAAGCGUGGGGAGCGAACAGGAUUAGAUACCCUUGUAGUC